GAGAGUUUGAUUAUGGCUCAGGAUGAACGCUAGCUAUAGGCUUAACACAUGCAAGUCGAGGGGAAACGGCAUUAUGUGCUUGCACAUUCUGGACGUCGACCGGCGCACGGGUGAGUAUCGCGUAUCCAACCUUCCCUCCACUCGGGGAUACCCCGUUGAAAGACGGCCUAAUACCCGAUGUUGUCCACAUAUGGCAUCUGACGUGGACCAAAGGUUCAUCGGUGGAGGAUGGGGAUGCGUCUGAUUAGCUUGUUGGUGCGGGUAACGGCCCACCAAGGCUACGAUCAGUAGGGGUUCUGAGAGGAAGGUCCCCCACAUUGGAACUGAGACACGGUCCAAACUCCUACGGGAGGCAGCAGUGAGGAAUAUUGGUCAAUGGACGUAAGUCUGAACCAGCCAAGUAGCGUGUAGGAUUGACGGCCCUAUGGGUUGUAAACUGCUUUUGUUGGGGAGUAAAGUGAGGCACGCGUGCCUUUUUGCAUUUACCCUUCGAAUAAGGACCGGCUAAUUCCGUGCCAGCAGCCGCGGUAAUACGGAAGGUCCAGGCGCUAUCCGGAUUUAUUGGGUUUAAAGGGAGUGUAGGCGGUCUGUUAAGCGUGUUGUGAAAUUUAGGUGCUCAACAUUUAACUUGCAGCGCGAACUGGCGGACUUGAGUGCACGCAACGUAUGCGGAAUUCAUGGUGUAGCGGUGAAAUGCUUAGAUAUCAUGACGAACUCCGAUUGCGAAGGCAGCGUACGGGAGUGUUACUGACGCUUAAGCUCGAAGUGCGGGUAUCGACAGGAUUAGAUACCCUGGUAGUCCGCACAGUAAACGAUGGAUGCCCGCUGUUAGCGCCUGGCGUUAGCGGCUAAGCGAAAGCAUUAAGCAUCCCACCUGGGGAGUACGCCGGCAACGGUGAAACUCAAGAAUUGACGGGGGCCGCACAAGCGGAGGAACAUGUGGUUUAUUCGAUGAUACGCGAGGACUUACCCGGGCUGAUGCAGACGCAGAUACAGAGAUGUGACUCCUCGGGCGUCUGUGAGUGCUGCAUGUGUCGUCAGCUCUGCUGAGGUUCGCUAUGCAUACAGCGCCACCCUUCCUAUGCCAUCAGGGAGGCUGGACUCUGGGAUACUCCACGCAAGUUAGAAAUGGUAGUCUAAUAGCGGCUUAUUCUGGUUAUACGGUUCUUGUGCGGCUACUAAAAGACGGUCCAUCCAAUGCGAUC
rnacentral:rRNA from 1 species